GUCGUCUUGACUCAAGUCUGCGAAGUGUAGGCGUCAUGGCUGAACUGC
rnacentral:ribozyme from 1 species